CCCUACUGCUAGUUACCAUCAUUAAGUUGGGGACUCUAGCGAGACUGCCAGUGAUAAACUGGAGGAAGGUGGGGGAUGACGUCAAAUCAUCAUGCCCCUUAUGACCUGGGCUACAAACGUGAUACAAAUGGCUGGAACAAAGGGAUGCGAAGCAGUGAUGUGGAGCGAAACCCAUAAAAACAGUCUCAGUUCGGAUUGAAGUCUGCAACUCGACUUCAUGAAGUCGGAAUCGCUAGUAAUCGCGGAUCAGGACGCCGCGGUGAAUACGUUCUCGGGGUUU
rnacentral:rRNA from 1 species